AGAGAACCGAGUUUACCACGCGAGGACUGCUGUCGACACAUCUCUGCUAACAAAUAUAAAAUAUUGUGAGAGUCCAGUCCACCCGGAAGCCAUCAAAUAGUCAGGGUGGAAGACUGAUUCUCUUUGGAUCACAACUCUGCUCAGCUAGCACUUCCUCCAGACUGCUACCUCGCCAGAAAUGAUUCCUGACCACCUGGUGUCCUCUCCAGGCAGGAGGGGAGGGACAAAGCAGAGGAGCGGCAGGUCAACUGGUCUAAACAGGAUCCAUCUAUGCACAAGCUAGAGCAUAGAAGGUUGCGGGAUGCUGGAGCCUAUCCCAGCUAUACUCGGGCGGAAGGCAGGGUACACCCUGGACAAGUCGCCAACUCAUCGCAGGCCCAACACAGAUAAACAACAUUCACACAAGGGACUAAAUAGUGAUGCCAAACCGCUUAUUCCCAGGUGUGUGU